GUCAAUGAAAGGCUGUAAAACUGUCUAUGAAAACUAUGUCAAGAACGGCGUGACGUGUGUAUGUGAUCAUCUGACAUCGUUUGUCAUUUUGAUGAAACCGAAGCCGGUACCGACAAACGAGAACGACAUUUUGUCUUUGCUUACAACAGUUGGGUUAUCAAUUUCAAGUUUGUUUCUCAUAAUUACUCUCGUCAUUAUCUGUAUUUUCAGAGAUUUAAGAAAUUCUGAGAGAUAUAAAAUCAUGCGCCACUUGGUCAUCGCUUUACUUUGUGUCAAUUGCUUCUUUUUGUUACUCGAAGUUGAUGCAAAAGAAUCG